CAGCAGCCGCGGUAAUACGUAGGGUGCAAGCGUUAAUCGGAAUUACUGGGCGUAAAGCGUGCGCAGGCGGUUUGUUAAGACAGAUGUGAAAUCCCCGGGCUCAACCUGGGAACUGCAUUUGUGACUGGCAGGCUAGAGUAUGGCAGAGGGGGGUGGAAUUCCGCGUGUAGCAGUGAAAUGCGUAGAUAUGCGGAGGAACACCGAUGGCGAAGGCAGCCCCCUGGGCCAAUACUGACGCUCAUGCACGAAAGCGUGGGGAGCAAACAGGAUUAGAUACCCCUGUAGUCCCUGUCUCUUAUAC
rnacentral:rRNA from 1 species